rnacentral:rRNA from 1 species
UAAAGCGGGUGAAAAGCCCGCUCGCCGGAAGACCAAGGGUUCCUGUCCAACGUUAAUCGGGGCAGGGUGAGUCGACCCCUAAGGCGAGGCCGAAAGGCGUAGUCGAUGGGAAACGGGUUAAUAUUCCCGUACUUGGUGUUACUGCGAAGGGGGGACGGAGAAGGCUAUGUUGGCCGGGCGACGGUUGUCCCGGUUUAAGCGUGUAGGCUGGUUUUCCAGGCAAAUCCGGAAAAUCAAGGCUGAGGCGUGAUGACGAGGCACUACGGUGCUGAAGCAACAAAUGCCCUGCUUCCAGGAAAAGCCUCUAAGCAUCAGGUAACAUCAAAUCGUACCCCAAACCGACACAGGUGGUCAGGUAGAGAAUACCAAGGCGCUUGAGAGAACUCGGGUGAAGGAACUAGGCAAAAUGGUGCCGUAACUUCGGGAGAAGGCACGCUGACACGUAGGUGAAGUGAUUUACUCACGGAGCUGAAGUCAGUCGAAGAUACCAGCUGGCUGCAACUGUUUAUUAAAAACACAGCACUGUGCAAACACGAAAGUGGACGUAUACGGUGUGACGCCUGCCCGGUGCCGGAAGGUUAAUUGAUGGGGUCAGCGCAAGCGAAGCUCCUGAUCGAAGCCCCGGUAAACGGCGGCCGUAACUAUAACGGUCCUAAGGUAGCGAAAUUCCUUGUCGGGUAAGUUCCGACCUGCACGAAUGGCGUAAUGAUGGCCAGGCUGUCUCCACCCGAGACUCAGUGAAAUUGAACUCGCUGUGAAGAUGCAGUGUACCCGCGGCAAGACGGAAAGACCCCGUGAACCUUUACUAUAGCUUGACACUGAACAUUGAGCCUUGAUGUGUAGGAUAGGUGGGAGGCUUUGAAGCGUGGACGCCAGUCUGCGUGGAGCCGACCUUGAAAUACCACCCUUUAAUGUUUGAUGUUCUAACGUGGACCCGUUACCCGGGUUGCGGACAGUGUCUGGUGGGUAGUUUGACUGGGGCGGUCUCCUCCUAAAGAGUAACGGAGGAGCACGAAGGUUGGCUAAUCCUGGUCGGACAUCAGGAGGUUAGUGCAAUGGCAUAAGCCAGCUUGACUGCGAGCGUGACGGCGCGAGCAGGUGCGAAAGCAGGUCAUAGUGAUCCGGUGGUUCUGAAUGGAAGGGCCAUCGCUCAACGGAUAAAAGGUACUCCGGGGAUAACAGGCUGAUACCGCCCAAGAGUUCAUAUCGACGGCGGUGUUUGGCACCUCGAUGUCGGCUCAUCACAUCCUGGGGCUGAAGUAGGUCCCAAGGGUAUGGCUGUUCGCCAUUUAAAGUGGUACGCGAGCUGGGUUUAGAACGUCGUGAGACAGUUCGGUCCCUAUCUGCCGUGGGCGCUGGAGAACUGAGGGGGGCUGCUCCUAGUACGAGAGGACCGGAGUGGACGCAUCACUGGUGUUCGGGUUGUCAUGCCAAUGGCACUGCCCGGUAGCUAAAUGCGGAAGAGAUAAGUGCUGAAAGCAUCUAAGCACGAAACUUGCCCCGAG